ensembl:lncRNA
ACAGAGAGAUGUAACACACAGAUAUAGAUGUAACACACAUAUAUAGAUGUAACACACAGAGAGAUGUAACACACAGAGAGAUGUAACACACAGAUAGAGAUGUAACACACAGAGAGAUGUAGCACACAUAUAUAGAUGUAACACACAGAGAGAUGUAACACACAGAUAGAGAUGUAACACACAGAGAGAUGUAACACACAUAUAUAGAGAUGUAACACACACAGAUAGAGAUGUAACACACAGAUAGAGAUGUAACACACAGGUAGAGAUGUAACACACAGAUAGAGAUGUAACACAUGUAUAUAGAUGUAACACACAGAUAGAGAUGUAACACACAGAUUUAGAUGUAACACACAGAUAUAGAUGUAACACACAGAGAGAUGUAACACACAGAGAGAUGUAACACACAGAGAGAUGUAACACACAGAUAGAGAUGUAACACACAGAGAGAUGUAACACACAGAGAGAUGUAACACACAGAGAGAUGUAACACACAGAUAGAGAUGUAACACACAGAGAGAUGUAACACACAGAGAGAUGUAACACACAGAUAUAGAUAUGUAACACACAGAGAGAUGUAACACACAGAUAGAGAUGUAACACACAGAGAGAUGUAACACACAGAGAGAUGUAACACACAGAUAUAGAUGUAACACACAUAUAUAGAUGUAACACACAGAUAGAGAUGUAACACACAGAGAGAUGUAACACACAUAUAUAGAUGUAACACACAGAGAGAUGUAACACACAGAUAGAGAUGUAACACACAGAGAGAUGUAACACACAUAUAUAGAUGUAACACACAGAGAGAUGUAACACACAGAUUUAGAUGUAACACACAGGUAGAGAUGUAACACACACAGAUAGAGAUGUAACACACACAGAUAGAGAUGUAACACACAGAUAGAGAUGUAACACACAGGUAGAGAUGUAACACACAGAUAGAGAUGUAACACAUGUAUAUAGAUGUAACACACAGGUAGUGAUGUAACACUCACAGAUAUAGAUGUAACACACACAGAUAAAGAUGUAACACACAUAUAUAGAUGUAACACACAGAUAGAGAUGUAACACACAGAUAGAGUUGUAACACACAGAUAGAGAUGUAACACACACACCCUACAAUAAUAGAAAAACAAACACGGUUGCAAUCAAAUCAAAUGCAUCUGACACGGGCUUACUGACAGACAUGUAGCACACACAGAUAGAGAAGUAACACACAGAUAGAGAUGUAACACACAGAUAGAGAUGUAACACACAGAUAGAGAUGUAACACACACACGGAGACUUACCUUGAAAUGCUAACAUGUUUACUUACAGAGAUGUUCACUGGCGAAAACACACACAUGAAAGGCACCCGAUAAUUACAGACUUGUUCACUCUCAUG